UGCAGACUAGUUAAGAGAGCUGGGUAAGAAUCAGGGUGUCCCUCAUGAUUAAAUGACAGUAGGAGGCUGCAUCACCACCGAGGGUCCCACCAUGCUCCGGGCAAUCCCCCAUAGCAAGGACCAAUCCAGACACCAAGGAGAACCCCUCCACCAGGAGCUGUAGGUGCCAUGUGCAGAAAGAAUAGAAAGGGGGCUGCGGAGAAGGCUGGAUUGCUGAGUGAGAUACUUGCCACACAAGCCUGAGGACCUGAGUUCGAUUCCCAUCACCCAUGGAAAAAGCCAGACCUUUAAACAUGUGUUUAUGGAAUAGACUGUGAACCCAUGGAGGUGGAAACCCAGCUUUUUGGUAUAUGUGAUGCCAUAUCCCUGGGAUAAUAUCACA